CCGCUUAGAAGCAAACAGGUGUAGUCAAACUGCAAGCCUUAAGAAAUCGGUUGGUCAGAUUGGCGUAAGUCUGAGCGUUGGGCUGUUGUCUGGGUCCGCCGUACUGGCGGGUUCGGCUUCCUCGGAAGCCGGAUUUGUGGUGCGAGGUUCGUUGCUGCAAGCCUGGGCAACUGUUGCUCUGCUGGCCCGCUUAUUUUCUUUUGGCGUUUGUCACGACCGCUGUUGCUGUCGGUCUACUCCGCUCAAACCGUUACGUGAUAAGUUUUGUGCUUUUUACGUCUUGGGGGCAGAUUACCCGGUUGGUUUCAUCGCCGAGCGGGUGUAAAAGCUGAGUGGAGUUGAGUCCGUAAUCCGUGCAGUACAGCGGGUAUGGCGGCAGGUUGUGUUGCUAGCUAGGUGCGCUAAAGUCGUAUCUGCGUAGUCAUAGUGUGAUUGCCUGUUGCUGUCUUUGACAGCCGGUCAAUUGCUAUGUCUCGUUAUAUUCGCGGCUGCAUCUGGUCAACCGUCACGCUGUGCCUAUAGUCAGUGUCAUAGUGGUA
rnacentral:rRNA from 1 species